UGUAGGGGAAAGCAGCCCAUAGGAACCAGUUCCAACGAGGCUCAUUCAGGUUAUUUUUCUCUCCUCUUUUCCCUGUUCUUUCCUCUCUGGGCUUUGUUGUUGUUUAGGAAAUACAGGCUCUUGUGGUGAGAGACUCCCAGCUUGCCAUGUGGGGAACAGGCGGGCUGGUACUUUGAGGUCCCCAAGGCAGGGAAGAUAGAGAGGGACCCAGUAGAGGAAGGAGUGCCAUCUGUGGGACAGAGGCCCCCACACAAGCUGGACAUGCGUCUGGCUUUGGGGCAAGCCAAGGAACUGGGUCUCUGAGAGACUGGCAGAGACAGGCAUCUGUGUAUUAAGUCCAAGGAGACCCUCAAAUGUCCUUAGCCAGGGUGGGCUGGAACAUGUCUGUGACACACCGACCUACCUGCCAAUCAGAGGGGAGCUAACUCUUAUAAACCAGGAUGAGGGCACAGGAGUGACGAUGGCUGUUGGAAAGUCACAAAGAAAGACUGUGGAGGGGCCCACCAGCCACCAAAGGGCAAACGGAGAUACAGAGGAGUCUUCAGAGGCUCUGUGAAUGUCCAGGAGACCUGCCUUGGAAUGGGCCAGAGGAAUUCUUCUGACGACCCCUCAAGCCACCAGUCCCCAGCUGUCCCUUUUCCUACUGCACCAGAUGCAACCUGUGGGAAGAGGCAGGAGCUGGGGCUGGAGGUGCAGCUGUGCCUUCCCUGGUGAGAAGAGAUGAGGAAACCGAGUCACAGAAAGGCUAAGCCAAGGAAUAACCACGGGAAACUCUCUCAGCCCGCAGGCAAGGUAGAGGUGCUGCCAGUGCUGCUUGUUCUGCCUGAAGGUGGCCUGAUUGCUUGCUUUUUCAGGUCCUGCCAAGCAUUAAGAAGAAAAUGCUGAGCAAAGGUGCCGCGGACAGAGAAGUUCUACUUAUAUUGAGAGUAAACAAAACCCGAGAAGCACGUGGAUCUGCAACAUUGCAUUUUUCUUCUUGAGUCAGCACAGUGGCACUUUCUGCAGUCCUGAGACAGGUCUAAGGUGGGAGUGGAAGGUCCAAAAAGCAGGCCUGGGGGAGCCUGCCCAGCUAGCCAGGGGACAAACGCAAAGUCAGCUAGAGGCACUUCACAGAGAAAGAGCCAGGGCCACACGUGAGGAGCUCCUGGGGUAGAGGUCAGCUGAGGACAGGGGGUGGGCCCUGGGCAGGCUGGGUGGGAAGGGGCCAGGCAGCCCACUGGCACCGGGAUGAUGUCAGGGAAGAGGACUUGAGACCCAUGGCGCGGUGGUUCUGGGCAUGAGACGGGAGAGGCAGCUGGUCAGAAACAAAGGACAAGUAGUUCAGGGAGAAGGUGGGAGAGGACCAAACUGGCCUCAGAGAAGUUAUAGCAGGGAGCGGCCCAGAGAGCUGGCCCAGUGGACGUGAUGGGGAUGGGACAGAUGGGACCCUGGAGUGAGGGGGAGGAGGCAGAGGAGCCCCAGGCCCUGGGAUGCCAUGUGGAGUGUUAAGUCCCAUCCCCACCCUCUCAGCAAUUAGGUGCUCAGAAGUAGGAACAGCUGUUGCCCCUGGAUUAACCCUGAUCCUCCCUACCUACCUGAGGAUUAAAGGGGGAAGGAGGGACAGGAGCAGACCUGGAGGAGGGGGAGGAAAUGCAAGAACGGAAAGGUGACCUCUGGGUAAGAAGGCAUGAGAAAGGGACUCGUGGAAGCCCAGGCUUGCCUUGGACCCUGUGGCAGGAAAGAGCAUGGAGAAGGCGGGAAGAAGCCAAGUGUCUGGGCAGGGUCUGAAGAAAGAGUUAAGCCAAGAACUAACUGUUCUACUCAGGAAGAACUCACCCCCAGGAAAAGAGGAGGCAAAGAGAGAACAGGGGCACCUCUAGAUCAGGGUCAUCCAGACGAUGUCACCUGGGGCUCCAGGGACAUGAGGGAAGGAGAGCAGAACCAGUGGGGCAGGUGUCAGGGGCACCCUCGCCGCAGGCAACUUGCAGCAGCCUGUGGUCAUCCAGGACAGGCAAGUCAGCACCAUGGACAGGGCCCUCCUCCUCCUCCUCCUCCUCCUGCCCCACCUCUCCAGCCUGGGCCUCUCUGGCAAGCACCAGGCACUGCAGCAGCUGCCUGUGCCAAAUUUUGGCCUGUUCGCCCUCCCUUCCCCUUCCCCCACUGCCUGACCUCAGUGGCCUCGUGUGUCAUCUCUCCUCUCUCAGGAGCUGGGGCGACACACCUGAAUUCUGGGUGGAGUUAAGGGGUGAGCCCGGCCUGAGAGGAGAGCACGGCAGAUGAGUUUGUUGGAAGGUGGGUCUGAGGGGUGGUGUAGGUGGAGACAGAGGAAGUGACAUUCAGAGCCCACUACCAUACAAGAGGCCCGGAAGCUGACCAGGAACCGCUUUGAGGGUUCUCUUUGAUCCCUACUUCUGCUCUCCGGGUUCUGACCUUUGAGGACAAGACAGGAUAAAUUUAUCCCUGGUGUUGAGUUGCAGCUGUGGCAGUAAAACUUGCUCAGGCCCAAGUGAAGAGCAUGGGGACCACUGGUGGCUCCCCGGAGGAUCUCGGGUAUUCUGGGAUCACACACAUAACAGAGGAGGGACUUGGGCAGAAGUGGGUGCGUGACACUUACUGGUCAUCGAUGAUGUGCUUGCAGGAGGUGGAGACGAUGUAGCCAGCUGUGGAGGCCAUGAUGGCUUGGACGGAGGACACUAACCUGGGGAGACAGAGGGAGGAGUGGCAGGUGGGAAGGCGAGUGCCUUGACAUCUCCUCUUCACUAGUAGUUAUUUGCUUUGGGUUUGGUCACUUCUCAGGCCAUUCCUGGCUCACCUCCCAAGACGGGGCUUUCCCAGAUUCACUACCACCUCCAGAGUCCUGAGUUGCUCUGCCACUGUCCCUCAGUUUGCCCCAUUCCUGGUGGCCUUCCCCUUCCCUUGGCUUGUGAAUACUGAGUGGCCUUCCUCUCAGGACACAGGGAGGUCACCCUGAGGUGAAACAAUGCUGGGAAUGUGUGGCUGAGAGCAAAGCCUCUGCCCAGGAGGGGACGCCCCGGAGGGCAAGGGGAGCCUGUGCUGUUCCUGCCCCACUUGGCUGCCCAGUCACCAUGCCACCCAUUACUCGGGCCUCUGGCCCUGCCGUGAACCCAAAUUCCCCCUGGCCACUUUCCCACUGUCUCCUUGACUGCCACGGAGCUCCCCUCUGGGUGCUGGCCCUAAUUCCAGGGUUGUAGAGAGUUCCACUGUUCACUCCUCUGUGCCUCGUCCCCAACACUCAUCCUGAUUCACACAUGGUGCUCUAGCCCUUGUUCCCUGACAUCUUAUAGGAAUGUUUUAGUCACAUGCUGGCCCUGUUUGGGAGGUGGGAGGGUGGCUGGGAGAAGGGGAGAAAAGCAGUCUGAACACUAGUAGACCAGAUGGCUGGUUUGGGGAGGUCUCCUGGGAAGGUGGUGGUAUUCUCAGUUUAAAAGAAGUUUAAAAAACAAAAACUUGCCAAGAUAAAACAGCUAUGAAAAUUGGUUAGAAGCUGGAUUUUGAACCAAUGUUUGCUUAACUCCAGAGUCAAAAAUGAGCAAAACUUCAAAAGGAACUCAGGAGGACACCAAAACUAAGGACCACAGACUUGGUCAAGGAACUGUGGUUUUACCUUGGAUGAAGCAGAUCAAAGCAAAUAGAGACAAGGUACAUGGAGUGGAACCCAGCAGCACUUUACCACCAAGCUACAUCUCCAGCCCUUUUUAUAUUUUAUUUUUUUAAAUUUUGAGACAAGGUUUCAAAGUUGUCCAGGGUGGCAUCAAACUUAUGAUCGUCCUGCCUCAGCCUCCCAAGUCACUGAGAUUAUAGGUACAUCACAUCCCCCAGCCUCCAAAAUGUCUUGCUGGAGUUGAGCACCCGUUAUGCCCAUUGGAUGGAGUCCUCCAGCUCAGACAUCUUUGUGUUAUUUUCAGGAAUUUGCAAUCCCUCCUUGAGAGAUGCUAAUUCACAUGACUCUCACCUAAACAUCUCCAUGAAGAAAGGAAAGGGAGUGUCAUCAUUAUUAAACCCAUUUUGAAGUGAGGAAUUUGAAGCUCAGAGGCUAAAGGACUUGCAAAAGAUUCCAUAGCCAGUGUUUUUUGGAACUGGCUUGAACUCAGGGGCACUCAACCCUGAGCCGUAUCCCCAGCCCUAUUCUGUAUUUUAUUUAGCAACUAAGUUGCUUAGUGCCUUGCGGUUGCUGAGGCUGGCUUUGAACUGACUAUCCUCCUGUCUCAGUCUCCCAAGCCACUGAGAUUACUGGUGGGUGCCACAGUGGCCAGCCAUAGCCAAUGUCUUUUGUUUUUGUUUUGGGGUACCAACCAUUGAAUUCAGGGGCACUUGACCACUGAGCCACAUCCCCAGCCCUAUUUUGUAUUUUUAUUUAGAGUCAGGCUCUCACUGAGUUGCUAAGCACCUCACUUUUUGCUGAGGCUGGUUUUGAAUUUGCGAUCCUCCUGCCUUAACCUCCAGAGCUGCUGGGAUUAUAGGUGAGCACCUCUGGGCCUGGUUUAUAGCCAGUGUCUUUUUUGUGUGUGUGGUGCUGCAGAUUGAACCCAGAUCCUUGUGCAUGUGAGGCAAGUACUCUACCAGCUGAGCUAUAUCCCCAACCCAUGGCCCGUGUCUUUUGCCUCCUAACUCCGAGCUGCAUCAGAUCCCACAUUCUCCUGCUUCCGCCACUACCUAGUCCUGAAAUGAAGCGAUCAGCUCCAGCAGCCCUGGCCCCCAGGAAAGAUACUCUCACCCUGGUCUUCUUACUUGGAUGCCACCAAAACAGCCUCUCUUGCCUCCAUCUGCAGUUUGGUGUAGUUCUGCAGGCCCCAACGGAGGACAGCGAAGAAUACUGGGAAGAAGACGCAACCUAGUACAAAGAGCAGGGCCAUGCCUGUCUGAGGUAGAGAAGGGGAAAAGAAAUGGUUGUGAGAACUCCUCAACCUUGCGGUGGUCCGUGAGAUCCGCUCAGCUGCAGCCAUUGAAAAUCAUUGCGUUUCUAACAUCCUUCAUCCGGGGUAAUUGAACAUCCUGGUGUUUGGUUUUGUUCUGUUUCAUUUUGUUUAAAUCUAGUAUUAUUUAAUUCAUUUUCCCUGCCAUCCCUGAAGCUGACCUACACCUCCUAGUCCAUCUCACACCUUAAAAUGGCUUCUCUUUCUCCUCCACCGCAGUGAUGUGCCUGCCCUUUCUUAACUCCACCCUGAUCAUCCUCCGUUCCUAUGUCACCCUUGACUCCUCCGAGGGGCUCAGACUUCUCACAGGUCUCACCUCUCAGCGACAAGGUGGGAGGACUGAGAGGGAGGUUGAUGUUUCUCCUCAGCACCCAAAACUUGGGAAAAGGAAGGGAGGGGGUGUUCAAAUUGUCAAAACACUUGAAAUUUUAAAAUAACAUUAAAAAAAAAAGCCAAAGUGUUUUUUACCCCAUAAAAACGAAAAAAAAAAAAAAAGAAAAAGGAAACCCUGAAAACACGGAUAUUUACAUAGAUAUUAUUUUUGCCUGGCAAAGCCUCCCCUCCCACCCGCUCCGAGGAGGAGAGGAGUGGGGAAGGCGCAGGAGGGACGCAGGUGGCCGGGGCCUGCCAUCCUCCAUCCCUGGAGUGCUUCUGAAGGGACCUUCUCAGGCUACAAGGAAGAUGUCAAACUGCAAGGGCACGAGGCUGCUCAGCCGAGGCAGUUGGAGCCCCAGGAGCAUCGCCCUCCCAUUGGCCAACCUCUUGACACGGGUGCCCUAUCGUUUAUUUCUGCUGGGGCGGAAGUGGGCAGGGCGUUCUAGCACCUUGUGUAGAAUUAGCCAAUUAGAGUUUCCUGACGACUUGAUGGACAGCGCAUUUCAGAGGGGGAGCUGGAAGAAAAGGAAUAGGAA